rnacentral:rRNA from 1 species
AGCAGCCGCGGUAAUUCCAGCUCCAAUAGCGUAUAUUAAAGUUGCUGCAGUUAAAAAGCUCGUAGUUGAAUUUCGGGAUCAAUAUGUUGGUCGUGCCUUGGUACGUACUAGCUUAUUGAUUUCUCCUUUCUGAUGAACCAUAAUGUCAUUAAUUUGGUGUCAUGGGGAAUCAGGACUGUUACUUUGAAAAAUUAGAGUGUUUAAAGCAGGCUCACGCUUGAAUACAUUAGCAUGGAAUAAUGAAAUAGGACGUUUGAUUCUAUUUUGUUGGUUUCUAGGAUCGACGUAAUGAUUAAUAGGGAUAGUUGGGGGCAUUAGUAUUCAAUUGUCAGAGGUGAAAUUCUUGGAUUUAUUGAAGACUAACUACUGCGAAAGCAUUUGCCAAGGAUGUUUUCAUUAAUCAAGAACGAAAGUUAGGGGAUCGAAGACGAUCAGAUACCGUCGUAGUCUUAACCAUAAACCUAUGCCGACUAGGGAUCGGAUGAUGUUAAUUUUAAUGACUCAUUC